rnacentral:rRNA from 1 species
GAUGAACGCUGGCGGCGUGCCUAAUACAUGCAAGUCGAGCGAACAGAUGAGAAGCUUACUUCUCUGAUGUUAGCGGCGGACGGGUGAGUAACACGUGAGUAACCUACCUAUAAGACUGGGAUAACUCCGGGAAACCGGGGCUAAUACCGGCUAAUAUUUUGAACCGCAUGGUUCAAUAGUGAAAGACGGUUUCGGCUGUCACUUAUAGCUGGACCCGCGCCGUAUUAGCUAGUUGGUAAGGUAACGGCUUACCAAGGCGACGAUACGUAGCCGACCUGAGAGGGUGAUCGGCCACACUGGAACUGAGACACGGUCCAGACUCCUACGGGAGGCAGCAGUAGGGAAUCUUCCGCAAUGGGCGAAAGCCUGACGGAGCAACGCCGCGUGAGUGAUGAAGGUCUUCGGAUCGUAAAACUCUGUUGUUAGGGAAGAACAAAUUUGUUAGUAACUGAACAAGUCUUGACGGUACCUAACCAGAAAGCCACGGCUAACUACGUGCCAGCCGCCGCAGUAA